rnacentral:lncRNA from 1 species
AUAACAUUUAUUUAAUGGAUGCUGAGCAAAAGGUAUUCACAUUUCAUGCUUCGGGGCUUAAGCCGAUCCUAGAUCAGUAGGGAACUUUUCCAGGCUCUGAAUUGUGCAACUGGGAGCAGAAUGUUUGGGGAAAUGAUCCUGUUUCCAAUUUCUGUGUUUAAAGGCAGCUAUGUUGACAAUGAUUUUCCGGCACUUUAACUAUCAAGAUAAUAAUACUUGUAGACUGCAGGUGCACUAUUGCCUGAAGCCACAUGGGAAGUCACAAGAAAGAGAAAUAAUAUACCAUCAGAGCUUAAACCUACUUUGUAACCCCAGCUAAUCAUUCACUACUUGUGAUUCUUCUGGCAACAAAUAAGGAAAAAAUACAGCAUCAAUUGUGAACUUAUGGUCAUAUGUCAGAUAUUGGUAAGACAUUUUGAACCCAUGAAUUCAUGUCAUCAUUUCAACAACUAACAUAAAUAUCAUGAACCCCAUUUUACAGAUGUGAAAAUGAAGGUUUAAAAAUGAAAUAACAACCAAACUACAUGAGUAGAAGGCAGAAAAAGCCAACAUUAGAAUCCAGGUCCUUCUGAAUUUAAAGCUCAUGUUCUUUGCACUAAAUCUGUAUUCCAUACAAAUCUGAUUUUAUAAGACAGAAAAUUUAAAAAACUCAGCAACAAAGGAACGAACAGACAUCACCUCAGCAUUAUCUUAUAUUAUACCCAGACAAAAACAUUUUAAAUAGAAAUAAAUUCUGGCUUAAAAAAAAGUUUUCCA